AUCAUGAAUACUUUUCCCUGAAGAGCUGAAUUGUCUCUUCAUUUCAUCACAAUCAAACGAUCAAGGAUCUGAUUCAAUUAAACCUCUGAAGAUUGAUUGACUUAAAGAUUGGCAAAGAAUAAUUCAGGAUAACAACAGGGAAUAAUCAGUCCAAGGAAUCUCAAGGAGUAAAAGAAGAAAGAUAACUUAUCAUCAUCAUUAUCGGUGGCAUCAUGAGCCAAAAAAAUGUGAAUCUUAAAGCUUGAUAAUGUGCCUCAUGUCAAUCUUGAUAAUAUAAAAUGUAAACUGAAAAUUAUUUAGUACAAAGCAAAGUCUAUGGAUGGAAAGGCAGAAUGUAAGAUUUAUUCUGUAAUCAUUACAAAAAUUACACGGGGAUCAAUAUUUACCUUUUGAAAAGACAAAACACAAGGAUCAAUUCAUCUUAACCUGUAUUUUGAAAGUUCACCUUUAAAGCCUAGUUACACCUUUACAGCUUAACCUGAAAAGGUUUAAAGCAGUAAAUGUUUUUUCCCGGGAAACAAACUUUGUAACCAAUAUUGAACCCUUAACUGGACCCAAAACACUGGUUCAAUACAUGAUGAUAGUGUAUGUAAUGAUGAAUGAGUUAAAUUGAAUGGUGAACAAAUUGUGACAACUUUACUUUACCAUUUGUAUUGUUAGGUUGCCUUGAAAGGCUCAAUCUAAUAACUAAAAAGUAUAAAGUUGUAUUCAUUAUUA